rnacentral:lncRNA from 1 species
GCCCAUCUGACAACCGCCCAACGCCUAAUUUCACCACCGGGCGGUUUCCCUCAAGCCGCAGCACCGCCCGACGCUCAAUUUCACCGCCCGGCGCUGGUCAACCGGACUCUGGUCAACUUUUCAAUAUUCUGGUCAACUGGUUGACUAGUUGACUUUUCUAGUUGACCGGUUGACUUUUCUGGUGGACUUGUUGACUUUUCUGCAUUUUGUUUGACUUUUUUG